rnacentral:rRNA from 1 species
AUUGAACGCUGGCGGCAGGCUUAACACAUGCAAGUCGAGCGGGGUGAUGGUGCUUGCACUAUCACUUAGCGGCGGACGGGUGAGUAAUGCUUAGGAAUCUGCCUAUUAGUGGGGGACAACAUCUCGAAAGGGAUGCUAAUACCGCAUACGUCCUACGGGAGAAAGCAGGGGAUCACUUGUGACCUUGCGCUAAUAGAUGAGCCUAAGUCGGGUUAGCUAGUUGGUGGGGUAAAGGCCUACCGAGGCGACGAUCAGUAGCUGGUCUGAGAGGAUGAUCAGCCACACUGGGAGUGAGACACGGCCCAGACUACUACGGGAGGCAGCAGUGGGGAAUAUUGGACAAUGGGGGCAACCCUGAUCCAGCAAUGCCGCGUGUGUGAAGAAGGCCUUCGGGUUGUAAAGCACUUUAGUUGGGGAAGAAGUUGUGGAGUUUAAGAGGCACUACAAUUGACGGUACCCAAAGAAUAAGCACCGGCUAACUCUGUGCCAGCCGCCGCCGUAA